rnacentral:rRNA from 1 species
UCCUUAGAUGUUCUGGGCCGCACGCGCGCUACACUGAUGAAUGCAACGAGCUCUACCCUUGACCGAAAGGCCCGGGUAAACUUGUGAAACUUCAUCGUGAUGGGGAUAGAUUAUUGCAAUUAUUAAUCUUCAACGAGGAAUUCCUAGUAAGCGCGAGUCAUCAGCUCGCGUUGAUUACGUCCCUGCCCUUUGUACACACCGCCCGUCGCUCCUACCGAUUGAAUGGUCCGGUGAAAUCUUCGGAUUGCUGACCAAGAUCCAGCAAUGGAGCUUGGUUGCGAGAAGUUGAUUAAACCUUAUUAUUUAGAGGAAGGAGAAGUCGUAACA